GACUACCAGGGUAUCUAAGCCCGUUCGCUACCCUAGCUUUCGCGCCUCAGCGUCAGAAAAGAUCCAGUGAGCCGCUUUCGCCACCGGUGUUCCUUAGGAUAUCAACGCAUUUCACCGCUCCACCCUAAGUUCCGCUCACCUCUAUCUUCCUCGAGCACGGCAGUUUUGGGCGCAGUUCCUCGGUUGAGCCGAGGUAUUUCACACCCAACUUGCCGCGCCGCCUACGCACCCUUUAAGCCCAGUGAUUCCGAAUAACGUUUGGACGGUUCGUCUUACCGCGGCUGCUGGCACGAACUUAGCCCGUCCUUCCUCUGAGGCUAUGUCAAACAGAUGGGAGAACCCACCUGCAUUUCAUCCCCUCUAACAGUGGUUUACAACCCGAAGGCCUUCAUCCCACACGCGGCGUCGCUCGGUCAGGCUUGCGCCCAUUGCCGAAGAUUCUCGACUGCAGCCCCCCGUAGG
rnacentral:rRNA from 1 species